GGAAAGGAGCAUUCAGUUCCUGGUGUUUGGACUGAGUUGAGCUUAUGGAUUCCCGGAGAUAUUUGAUUCCAGAAUGAACUCACUUCUUCCUUCGAGGCAAAGAAGGUCUUACCCAAGCCUCAUUCAAGAGAUUCACUGGGAGGGAAGAGUCCAGGAGGUGGCUGACCCUGCAAGAGUGUGAAAGGCAGCUACCAACUGAACAGGAUCAGGGUGUGCUGCUUUGGACAGAAAGGGGUGUUGUUUCCCCUAGAAACAGAUAUGCAGUCCAUU